rnacentral:rRNA from 1 species
GAUGAACGCUGGCGGCGUGCCUAAUACAUGCAAGUCGAGCGAACGGACGAGAAGCUUGCUUCUCUGAUGUUAGCGGCGGACGGGUGAGUAACACGUGGAUAACCUACCUAUAAGACUGGGAUAACUUCGGGAAACCGGAGCUAAUACCGGAUAAUAUUAUGAACCGCAUGGUUCAAAAGUGAGAGACGGUCUUGCUGUCACUUAUAGAUGGAUCCGCGCUGCAUUAGCUAGUUGGUAAGGUAACGGCUUACCAAGGCAACGAUGCAUAGCCGACCUGAGAGGGUGAUCGGCCACACUGGAACUGAGACACGGUCCAGACUCCUACGGGAGGCAGCAGUAGGGAAUCUUCCGCAAUGGGCGAAAGCCUGACGGAGCAACGCCGCGUGAGUGAUGAAGGUCUUCGGAUCGUAAAACUCUGUUAUUAGGGAAGAACAUAUGUGUAAGUAACUGUGCACAUCUUGACGGUACCUAAUCAGAAGGCCACGGCUAACUACGUG